UACGUGCCAGCAGCCGCGGUAAUACGUAGGGUGCGAGCGUUAAUCGGAAUUACUGGGCGUAAAGCGAGCGCAGACGGUUACUUAAGCAGGAUGUGAAAUCCCCGGGCUUAACCUGGGAACUGCGUUCUGAACUGGGUGACUAGAGUGUGUCAGAGGGAGGUAGAAUUCCACGUGUAGCAGUGAAAUGCGUAGAGAUGUGGAGGAAUACCGAUGGCGAAGGCAGCCUCCUGGGAUAACACUGACGUUCAUGCUCGAAAGCGUGGGUAGCAAACAGGAUUAGAUACCCUGGUAGUCCACGCCCUAAACGAUGUCAAUUAGCUGUUGGGCAACUUGAUUGCUUAGUAGCGUAGCUAACGCGUGAAAUUGACCGCCUGGGGAGUACGGUCGCAAGAUUAAAACUCAAAGGAAUUGACGGGGACCCGCACAAGCGGUGGAUGAUGUGGAUUAAUUCGAUGCAACGCGAAGAACCUUAC
rnacentral:rRNA from 1 species